AUACAGAGGGUGCAAGCGUUACUCGGAAUCACUGGGCGUAAAGGACGCGUAGGCGGGUUGGUAAGUCAGGUGUGAAAUCCUACAGCUUAACUGUAGAACUGCACUUGAAACUACCAACCUAGAGUAUGGGAGGGGGAGAUGGAAUUAGUGGUGUAGGGGUAAAAUCCGUAGAUAUCACUAGGAAUACCGAAAGCGAAGGCGAUCUCCUGGAACAUAACUGACGCUAAGGCGUGAAAGCGUGGGGAGCAAACAGGAUUAGAAACCCUAGUAGUCC
rnacentral:rRNA from 1 species